rnacentral:rRNA from 1 species
UACGUAGGGGGCUAGCGUUGUCCGGAAUCAUUGGGCGUAAAGAGCGUGUAGGCGGCCCGGUAAGUCCGCUGUAAAAGUCAAUGGCUCAACCUUUGAAUGUCAGUGGAUACUGCCGGGCUAGAGUCCGGAAGAGGCGAGUGGAACUCCUGGUGUAGCGGUGGAAUGCGCAGAUAUCAGGAAGAACACCAACGGCGAAGGCAGCUCGCUGGGACGGUACUGACGCUGAGACGCGAAAGCGUGGGGAGCGAACAGG